AGAGUUUGAUCCUGGCUCAGGAUAAACGCUAGCGGCAGGCCUAACACAUGCAAGUCGAGGGGCAUCAGGGAAGUAGCUUGCUACUUUUGCUGGCGACCGGCGCACGGGUGCGUAACGCGUAUGCAACCUACCUUUAACAGGGGGAUAAUCCGAAGAAAUUUGGUCUAAUACCCCAUAAUAUUGAUUAAGGCAUCUUGAUCAGUUGAAAGUUCCGACGGUUAAAGAUGGGCAUGCGUUGUAUUAGCUAGUUGGUGAGGUAACGGCUCACCAAGGCUACGAUACAUAGGGGGACUGAGAGGUUUUCCCCCCACACUGGUACUGAGACACGGACCAGACUCCUACGGGAGGCAGCAGUGAGGAAUAUUGGUCAAUGGACGCAAGUCUGAACCAGCCAUGCCGCGUGCAGGAUGAAUGUGCUAUGCAUUGUAAACUGCUUUUGUACGAGGGUAAAAACAGGUACGUGUACCUGGUUGAAAGUAUCGUACGAAUAAGGGUCGGCUAACUCCGUGCCAGCAGCCGCGGUAAUACGGAGGACCCGAGCGUUAUCCGGAUUUAUUGGGUUUAAAGGGUGCGUAGGCGGAUUGGUAAGUUAGAGGUGAAAGCUCAGCGCUUAACGUUGAAACUGCCUCUGAUACUGUCGGUCUAGAGUAUAGUUGCGGAAGGCGGAAUGUGUGGUGUAGCGGUGAAAUGCUUAGAUAUCACACAGAACACCGAUUGCGAAGGCAGCUUUCCAAGCUAUCACUGACGCUGAGGCACGAAAGCGUGGGGAGCGAACAGGAUUAGAUACCCUGGUAGUCCACGCCGUAAACGAUGAUAACUCGUUGCAGGCGAUACACAGUCUGUGACUUAGCGAAAGCGUUAAGUUAUCCACCUGGGGAGUACGUUCGCAAGAAUGAAACUCAAAGGAAUUGACG
rnacentral:rRNA from 1 species